rnacentral:rRNA from 1 species
GACGAACGCUGGCGGCGUGCUUAACACAUGCAAGUCGAACGGAAAGGCCCUGCUUUCGUGGGGUGCUCGAGUGGCGAACGGGGGAGUAACACGUGAGUAACCUGCCCUUGACUUUGGGAUAACUUCAGGAAACUGGGGCUAAUACCGGAUAGGAGCCCCUGCUGCAUGGUGGGGGUUGGAUAUUUUCGGCGGUUGGGGAUGGACUCGCGGCUUAUCAGCUUGUUGGUGGGGUAGUGGCUUACCAAGGCUUUGACGGGUAGCCGGCCUGAGAGGGUGACCGGCCACAUUGGGACUGAGAUACGGACCAGACUCCUACGGGAGGCAGCAGUGGCGAAUAUUGCACAGUGGGCGGAAGCCUGAGGCAGCAGCGCCGCGUUCGGGAUGACGGCCUGCUGGUUGUAAACCGCUUUCGCCUGAGACGAAGCGGGAGUGACGGUAAUGGGUAAAGAAGCACCGGCUAACUACGUG